UAGGUAAAUCUACUGACACAGAGAUGUUGGAUGUUGAAUAACCAACAUCGUAAAGGAUUUUAGAUAAAAAGAAGAGAUUUUUGGGGAAAGGCGCAAGAAACCUACACUAAAUUCAUUUAGCAUUGUAUAUAUAGAGUGACAGAAAGAGAGUUUAGUCCAAUUUGCUGAUGAGUUUUGUUCUCUAAAUCAUUCAAAUCCAGUAAUGUGUAAAUUGUGAGAAAAGGGG
rnacentral:lncRNA from 1 species